UACGUAGGGGGCAAGCGUUGUCCGGAUUUAUUGGGCGUAAAGAGCGUGUAGGCGGCCAGGUAGGUCGGUUGUGAAAACUGGAGGCUCAACCUUCAGACGUCGAUCGAAACCAUCUGGCUAGAGUCCGGGAGAGGAGAGUGGAAUUCCUGGUGUAGCGGUGAAAUGCGCAGAUAUCAGGAGGAACACCGGUGGCGAAGGCGGUUCUCUGGGCAUUACCUGACGCUGAGGAGCGAAAGUGUGGGGAGCGAACAGG
rnacentral:rRNA from 1 species